rnacentral:rRNA from 1 species
AUACGUAGGGUGCAAGCGUUAAUCGGAAUUACUGGGCGUAAAGCGUGCGCAGGCGGUUCGGAAAGAAAGAUGUGAAAUCCCAGAGCUUAACUUUGGAAUGGCACUUUUAACUCCCGAGCUAGAGUAUGUCAGAGGGGGGUAGAAUUCCACGUGUAGCAGUGAAAUGCGUAGAUAUGUGGAGGAAUACCGAUGGCGAAGGCAGCCCCCUGGGAUAAUACUGACGCUCAGACACGAAAGCGUGGGGAGC